rnacentral:rRNA from 1 species
UACAGAGGUCUCAAGCGUUGUUCGGAAUCACUGGGCGUAAAGGGUGCGUAGGCCGCACGGUAAGUCAGAGGUGAAAUCCCGGAGCUCAACUUCGGAAUUGCCUCCGAUACUGCCGUGCUUGAGGACUGGAGAGGAGAUUGGAAUUCACGGUGGAGCAGUGAAAUGCGUAGAUAUUGUGAGGAACACUAGUGGCGAAGGCGAAUCUCUGGACAGUUCCUGACGCUGAGGCACGAAGGCCAGGGGAGCAAACGGG